GACGAACGCUGGCGGCGUGCUUAACACAUGCAAGUCGAACGGAAAGGCCCUGCUUUUGUGGGUUGCUCGAGUGGCGAACGGGUGAGUAACACGCGAGUAACCUGCCCUUAACUUUGUGAGAACUUUACGAAACUGGGGCUAAUACCCCGUAGAAUAUCCUGCAGUACGGGGGGGGUUAGAAAGUUUCGGCUGUGCGGGCUGGAAUCGAUGCUUAUCAGCUGGUUGGGGGGGUAGUGGCGUACAAGGGCUACGACGGCUAGCCGGCCUGAGAGGGUUACCGGGCACCUUGGGCCUGAGGGACGGACCAGAAGGCUACGGGCGGCAGCAGGGGGGAAUAUUGCACAAUGGGCGCACGCCUGAUGCGGAGACGCUGCGUGCGGAAUGACGGGUUUCGGGUUGUGAACAGAUUUGGCAGGUGCCGUAGACUGCGUGACGGUACUGGGUCAAGAAGCCCCGGCUAACUACGUG
rnacentral:rRNA from 1 species